rnacentral:rRNA from 1 species
UGAGUAACGCGUAUGCAACUUGCCUAUCAGAGGGGGAUAACCCGGCGAAAGUCGGACUAAUACCGCAUGAAGCAGGGAUCCCGCAUGGGAAUAUUUGCUAAAGAUUCAUCGCUGAUAGAUAGGCAUGCGUUCCAUUAGGCAGUUGGCGGGGUAACGGCCCACCAAACCGACGAUGGAUAGGGGUUCUGAGAGGAAGGUCCCCCACAUUGGUACUGAGACACGGACCAA